CGAUGUAUAAACAACCUUUUAUAUAUCAAUGUGUUUAUUUUGUUUGUUGUAAAUGCAAUUUUUUUCUCUUCAUUUAUUAAUUUUUAUUUUGUGUGUGUUGAACUUUUUUAAUACUGUCAAGUCUAUUCAAAAACCCUUUAAUGAACACAACAAAUGUGGAAAAUCAGUCAUUCUCCUGCAUUUUGUAAUCAAUUUAUUUCCUUUUGGGCAGUAUGGAAAUGUAAGUUCUUAUUUCAUCUUAUGGUUGGAAAGAAUCUAUUCCCUCGGAAAGGGAUUAUAGUCUCCAUGAUGCAGUAAUGGGAGAUUUUAUAGGGUAGGCAGGGUCUACAGAAGAAAAAACCCUAAAUCACACUCCAUUGGUGGUUGCCUUAUUUAUAAAAACGGCAUUUGAGGUUGUGUGACUGCCAUCAGGUAAGCAAAAUUAAUUUUUAGCAUGAAAUACUCCUAUCAGCAAGAACAGCCUAGGAUAGGCUAGCAGUAAGAAGUGAGGGGUUAUGGGAUUGGGGCAUAGCCUCUGUUUCCUCCAAUGCAGCUGGAAAUUUAAACUCUGGGGCUCCUGCUUGAUCCAAUCAGCCCAGCUAGUAUGUGUUGCCAGGUAGGGUGAAUAGACUCAGAAGUACAAGAGCUCAUCCUUGGUCCCCUCUGGAAAUGAGCAGAGAAUACUGUGUCAAGCAGAGGUGAUCAGUCCAUGGUCUGGAGACUUGGAUCUCCUCACAUAGUCCUUAAAGUCAGGGUGAGACAAAAUGCCAAUACAAAUUAUAUUGAUGACAGUAUCAAUGAGGUGACAUUGAGUCCUUUGACCCAACGUGUGUCUGCAGUGUGCCAUCCAUUAGUAAAUGGGCAAAGCCAUUUGACAGAUCUAUCUGAUACAAUGAAUGAAUGUGACACUCAUAUUUUGAAAAACUGAAACUGUAUCCAUUUGUCAAGAACAGUGGCUACUUGUUCUGCUUUAUUCCCCCUGGUAGAACUAGAUAACAUUGCAGACAGUAAGACGUUCCGGCAUUUCACCCUGGAGUAGCCCCAAAACUGAAGAAGCUGUCUUAUCAGUAGUUAGCUCCUUGUCACCAAGAAUAUUAAAGUAGAUUUGUAUGAUUAGCAAAUUAAAGAGACUAUAGUGCCUACCACUACUGUAGUCACUAAGGCACCCAAGUUAUUCUAAAGAAAUCCUAAUAAUACAUUAGGACCGUUUUGAAUAUUUUUAUUUGAUUAGCCAUAAUCUUCUAGUUAUAACAUCCAUCACCAUCUUGACCACUGAAACUUGGCCUUCUUUUCUUACAGCCUAGCCCUGUGGUCUUGGGCUAAUCACUGACCUGCUUAGAUACAAUUUUCUUCUCUAUGAAAUAGAAACAAUAUUAUAUGCUUUGAAGGACUGCAGGAAGAUGAGCUGUAAUGUUUAUCAAGUGCCUAGUUAGCUCUAGAGUCCUUAAUUCUCCAUUCAGUAUUAAAUUAUUGACUAUUUUGCCACAACUACUGAGCCUGCGCUCUAGAGCCUGCGAGUCACAGCUACUGAAGCCUGUGUGCCACAACUACUGAACUCCAUGCACCUAGAGCCCGUGCUCUGCAACAAGAGAAGCCACCAAAAUGAGAAGCCUGCACACCGCAUAGAAGAGUAGCCCCCGCUCACCGCAAUUACAGAAAGCCCGCGUGUAGCAAUGAAGACCCAACACAGCCAAAAAUAAAAUAAAUACAUUUAUUUUUUAAAAAGUGGAUGUAUUUAAAAAAACCCCAAAAGGUCCUACUGUAUAUGUAUAGCACAGGGAACUAUAUUCAAUAUCCUGUGAUAAACCGUAAUGGAAAAGAAUAUGAAAAAGAAUGUAUAUAAAUGUAUAAAUGAGUCACUUUUCUGUGCAGCAGUAAUUAACACAACACUGUAAUUCUAUACGUCAAUAAAAAAUAAAAUUAAAAAAAACUGACAUAAAAAUCACCACAGAAGGGGGACUUCCCUAGUGGUCCGGUGGUUAAGACUUCGCCUUGCAAUGGAGGGGGUGAGGGUUCGAUCCCUGGUUGGGGAGCUAAGAUCCCACGUGCCUUGCGACCAAAAAACCAAAACAUAAAACAGAAGCAAUACUGUAACAAAUUCCAUAAAGACUUUAAAAAUAGUCAACAUCAAAAAAAAUCUUUAAAAAAAUCACAUAAAUCAGAAACAAAUGAAACAUAAUAAAGUCCAUACAUUAAAAAAAAAAGAGCAUGGGUUCUGGUCACAUCCCAGCUUCCCACUUACUUACAGCUGUGUAAUUCUGGGCAACUCACAUAAUGUCUCCUCAGACUCCUCAUCUAUAAAAGGGGAUGGUAAUAGUUCCCUACCUCAUAGUGUUGCUGUAAUCCAUAAACACGGUUAAGUGCCUUGGUAAAUUGUUUGAUGCUCUCUGGUUAUUGUGAAUUAAAAUAUGUCAAUGGCUUCUGGCCGUACGAUUUAUAAUAGUUUGACAGUUAACCAAAUGGUAAAACUAUUCCAUUUAUUAUUCCCAUCUCUUUUUACCCCCUACCCUGUUUUGUUGUUUAUGUUUUCUCCCACCACAGAGUGUUAGUUCCAGGAGAGCAAAAGCUUUAUUUUGUUCACUGCUGAAAGCAAUAGCACCCAGAAAAGUACUGUACAUAUGAAACCCUCAGUAAACACUAGCUGAAUGAAUGGUGCAAACUGUCACAAGGAAAAAUACACCAAAACUUUCAUUAUAAUAAAAAAGUAUAGAUAAA